rnacentral:rRNA from 1 species
AAGCCUGAUCCAGCCAUGCCGCGUGUGUGAAGAAGGUCUUCGGAUUGUAAAGCACUUUAAGUUGGGAGGAAGGGCAGUAAAUUAAUACUUUGCUGUUUUGACGUUACCGACAGAAUAAGCACCGGCUAACUCUGUGCCAGCAGCCGCGGUAAUACAGAGGGUGCAAGCGUUAAUCGGAAUUACUGGGCGUAAAGCGCGCGUAGGUGGUUCGUUAAGUNGGAUGUGAAAUCCCCGGGCUCAACCUGGGAACUGCAUUCAAAACUGACGAGCUAGAGUAUGGUAGAGGGUGGUGGAAUUUCCNGUGUAGCGGUGAAAUGCGUAGAUAUAGGAAGGAACACCAGUGGCGAAGGCGACCACCUGGACAUGAUACUGACACUNAGGUGC